GUAUAGUCGAGUGAAAAGGUUGUCAAGAGCGAUUGUUACUAAACCUAAAUAAUUAAUUUCGUCUUAAGUCUAUAUAAUUAACUGUGAAAUCUGGAAGAACAUAAAUAAUUUUUUACACAUUUAAGCUAUAUAACUCGUUUAAUAAAAACCAUAUAAACUAAGAACUACAAAUUGGCGGCUCGUCCGGAAUGUACUUAAGUGUAAAGACAAAAUUUUGACGCAGUUCGUUUUAGUUACCAGUGAUCGGUCAAAUUGAACCGUUGGAUGACCGACGCACAAUGGCGCAAAAGAUACAGAUACUAUACAAAAAUCAAAUUUUUGAUGACAACGGAUCGUUGCAGAGGAUAUCGCAUUCGACUGGCAAUAGUUAAAUGGGUUGAAUCCAUGAAAAUGAUUAAAAUCGGUUCAGUAUUUUAAAAGUUACACGUGCUCGAAGUUGAACAUUUUUUGGGUUGCAAAAGAAGGUGUUUUUUUAUGAAAAAUUGGGACUUUGCGGUCGAUUUUUAGAUAAAAUAUGUAACCGACCGGCUUGGUUAUGGUCUCUAUGGAAAUGGUUAUCAAAUCUCUGUAAAAGGUGGUCUCCAUUUGUUGGAAAAUUAAAAUACUUAGCGGAAGUUAACCUAAGUCAUUCAUUGCAACUGUUUGGAAAGUUUUGCUGUUUUCGUAUGGAAAUUUCUGGCAAACAGAUUGGACCGUCUUGUGUGUGUCUUGAAGUUAAUUCAAAUACAUUUGGAAAGAUUAAAGUUUUUCAAUAUAUUACACCAAUCGAGCCUUUGUUGCAAAAAGUUGUUCAUCAGUUCUAUGGUCCUCGUUGGAGUGCACCACUUAUGAACAUUUUUGUUUAUGGAGAAAGUGUCAUGUUCGAACGUGAUAUUAACAUAUGGAAUCAUAAAGUACUUCAUCGGAAUCCUAUCUUAGCUAAGGAAGAUACAUCGAUAAAGAAGUUUAGGCUGUGGUUCUCCCAAUUCUAUUCGUCGAACAGCAAAUCAUAUUCUGAAGCAACCAACUUUGGAACGAUGGCUAAUUAUCCUAUUCUUCUUUUUUAAAUGCCAGCUAAAACAAAGUAACAUCCAAAACGGUGGCCAAGUAAUUGCAGAAUCAGAUAGCGGCUGAAGCGUACCGCGUACAUACUACAGUACAUACUACUAUCGUCGCGCGAACAGAGUUGCGUUAAACGGCUACUCCAUCACAUAAAAAAGGGAUAAACUAACUUGUGGUGGUCUCCAUUUGUUGGAAAAUUAAAAUACUUAGCGGAAGUUAACCUAAGUCAUUCAUUGCAACUGUUUGGAAAGUUUUGCUGUUUUCGUAUGGAAAUUUCUGGCAAACAGAUUGGACCGUCUUGUGUGUGUCUUGAAGUUAAUUCAAAUACAUUUGGAAAGAUUAAAGUUUUUCAAUAUAUUACACCAAUCGAGCCUUUGUUGCAAAAAGUUGUUCAUCAGUUCUAUGGUCCUCGUUGGAGUGCACCACUUAUGAAAAUUUUUGUUUAUGGAGAAAGUGUCAUGUUCGAACGUGAUAUUAACAUAUGGAAUCAUAAAGUACUUCAUCGGAAUCCUAUCUUAGCUAAGGAAGAUACAUCGAUAAAGAAGUUUAGGCUGUGGUUCUCCCAAUUCUAUUCGUCGAACAGCAAAUCAUAUUCUGAAGCAACCAAUAUUGGUUGGUAGCUAAAUUUGUACUGAAAUUUAAAGUUUUACUAAACGAUGGCUAAGUAAAUACUGUGUCUCGAAGAAAAUAGAAGACUAUUGAAAAAAAUCAUUUUUAAAUUUAUGUUAUUUUAUUAAAGUAAUUUGCAAAUUUGACGGAGUA